rnacentral:rRNA from 1 species
UACAUGCAAGUCGAACGAGUUCUGAUUAUUGAAAGGUGCUUGCAUCUUGAUUUAAUUUUGAACGAGUGGCGGACGGGUGAGUAACACGUGGGUAACCUGCCCUUAAGUGGGGGAUAACAUUUGGAAACAGAUGCUAAUACCGCAUAAAUCCAAGAACCGCAUGGUUCUUGGCUGAAAGAUGGCGUAAGCUAUCGCUUUUGGAUGGACCCGCGGCGUAUUAGCUAGUUGGUGAGGUAACGGCUCACCAAGGCAAUGAUACGUAGCCGAACUGAGAGGUUGAUCGGCCACAUUGGGACUGAGACACGGCCCAAACUCCUACGGGAGGCAGCAGUAGGGAAUCUUCCACAAUGGACGCAAGUCUGAUGGAGCAACGCCGCGUGAGUGAAGAAGGCUUUCGGGUCGUAAAACUCUGUUGUUGGAGAAGAAUGGUCGGCAGAGUAACUGUUGUCGGCGUGACGGUAUCCAACCAGAAAGCCACGGCUAACUACGUGCCAGCAGCCGCGGUAAUACGUAGGUGGCAAGCGUUAUCCGGAUUUAUUGGGCGUAAAGCGAGCGCAGGCGGUUUUUUAAGUCUGAUGUGAAAGCCCUCGGCUUAACCGAGGAAGUGCAUCGGAAACUGGGAAACUUGAGUGCAGAAGAGGACAGUGGAACUCCAUGUGUAGCGGUGAAAUGCGUAGAUAUAUGGAAGAACACCAGUGGCGAAGGCGGCUGUCUGGUCUGUAACUGACGCUGAGGCUCGAAAGCAUGGGUAGCGAACAGGAUUAGAUACCCUGGUAGUCCAUGCCGUAAACGAUGAAUGCUAGGUGUUGGAGGGUUUCCGCCCUUCAGUGCCGCAGCUAACGCAUUAAGCAUUCCGCCUGGGGAGUACGACCGCAAGGUUGAAACUCAAAGGAAUUGACGGGGGCCCGCACAAGCGGUGGAGCAUGUGGUUUAAUUCGAAGCAACGCGAAGAACCUUACCAGGUCUUGACAUCUUUUGAUCACCUGAGAGAUCGGGUUUCCCCUUCGGGGGCAAAAUGACAGGUGGUGCAUGGUUGUCGUCAGCUCGUGUCGUGAGAUGUUGGGUUAAGUCCCGCAACGAGCGCAACCCUUAUGACUAGUUGCCAGCAUUUAGUUGGGCACUCUAGUAAGACUGCCGGUGACAAACCGGAGGAAGGUGGGGAUGACGUCAAAUCAUCAUGCCCCUUAUGACCUGGGCUACACACGUGCUACAAUGGAUGGUACAACGAGUUGCGAGACCGCGAGGUCAAGCUAAUCUCUUAAAGCCAUUCUCAGUUCGGACUGUAGGCUGCAACUCGCCUACACGAAGUCGGAAUCGCUAGUAAUCGCGGAUCAGCACGCCGCGGUGAAUACGUUCCCGGGCCUUGUACACACCGCCCGUCACACCAUGAGAGUUUGUAACACCCGAAGCCGGUGGCGUAACCCUUUUAGGGAGCGAGCCGUCUAA